rnacentral:rRNA from 1 species
GGGCGUUAAGUUGCAGGGUAUAGACCCGAAACCCGGUGAUCUAGCCAUGGGCAGGUUGAAGGUUGGGUAACACUAACUGGAGGACCGAACCGACUAAUGUUGAAAAAUUAGCGGAUGACCUGUGGCUGGGGGUGAAAGGCCAAUCAAACCGGGAGAUAGCUGGUUCUCCCCGAAAGCUAUUUAGGUAGCGCCUCGUGAAUUCAUCUCCGGGGGUAGAGCACUGUUUCGGCUAGGGGGCCAUCCCGGCUUACCAACCCGAUGCAAACUGCGAAUACCGGAGAAUGUUAUCACGGGAGACACACGGCGGGUGCUAACGUCCGUCGUGAAGAGGGAAACAACCCAGACCGCCAGCUAAGGUCCCAAAGUCAUGGUUAAGUGGGAAACGAUGUGGGAAGGCCCAGACAGCCAGGAUGUUGGCUUAGAAGCAGCCAUCAUUUAAAGAAAGCGUAAUAGCUCACUGGUCGAGUCGGCCUGCGCGGAAGAUGUAACGGGGCUAAACCAUGCACCGAAGCUGCGGCAGCGACACU